rnacentral:rRNA from 1 species
GACGAACGCUGGCGGCGUGCCUAAUACAUGCAAGUAGGACGCAGUUGCGCACGGGUGAGUAACGCGCAGGUAACCGCCUCCAAGAGGGGGGUAACUAUUGGAAACAAUAGCUAAUACAGCACAGUAGUAGAUGGACCUGCGUUGUAUUAGGUAGUAGGUUGGGGAAUUGACUACCUAGGCGACGAUACAUAGCCGACCUGAGAGGGUGAUCGGUCACAAUUGGAAUGAGACACGGCCCAGACUCCUACGGGAGGCAGCAGUAGGGAAUCUUCGGCAAUGGGGGGAACCUUGACCGAGCAACGCCGGGUUAGUGAAGAAGGUUUUCGGAUCGUAAAGCUCUGUUGUUAAGGAAGCGGUACUUAACCAGAAAGGGACGGCUAACUACGUGCCAGCAGCCGCGGUAAUAC